rnacentral:rRNA from 1 species
UACGAAGGGGGCUAGCGUUGUUCGGAAUUACUGGGCGUAAAGGGCGCGUAGGCGGUGUGUCAAGUCAGGCGUGAAAGCCCCGGGCUCAACCUGGGAACCGCGCUUGAGACUGGCACGCUAGAGUUCGGGAGAGGAUGGUGGAAUUCCCAGUGUAGAGGUGAAAUUCGUAGAUAUCUGGAGGAACACCGGUGGCGAAGGCGGCAUCCUGGACCGGUAUUGACGCUGAGGCGCGAAAGCCAGGGGAGCAAACGGG